CUACGGGGAGGCAGCAGUAGGGAAUCUUCCGCAAUGGACGAAAGUCUGACGGAGCAACGCCGCGUGAGUGAUGAAGGUUUUCGGAUCGUAAAGCUCUGUUGUUAGGGAAGAACAAGUGCCGUUCAAAUAGGGCGGCACCUUGACGGUACCUAACCAGAAAGCCACGGCUAACUACGUGCCAGCAGCCGCGGUAAUACGUAGGUGGCAAGCGUUGUCCGGAAUUAUUGGGCGUAAAGGGCUCGCAGGCGGUUUCUUAAGUCUGAUGUGAAAGCCCCCGGCUCAACCGGGGAGGGUCAUUGGAAACUGGGGAACUUGAGUGCAGAAGAGGAGAGUGGAAUUCCACGUGUAGCGGUGAAAUGCGUAGAGAUGUGGAGGAACACCAGUGGCGAAGGCGACUCUCUGGUCUGUAACUGACGCUGAGGAGCGAAAGCGUGGGGAGCGAACAGGAUUAGAUACCCUG
rnacentral:rRNA from 1 species